rnacentral:rRNA from 1 species
CAGAGGUGCCGAGCGUUUAGGCGGAAUCACUGGGCUUAAAGCGUGUGUAGGCGGGUCGUUAAGUGUCUUGUGAAAUCCCCCGGCUCAACCGGGGAAUGGCUGGGCAUACUGGCGAUCUUGAGCAGUCUAGGGGCAGAUGGAACAAGUGGUGGAGCGGUGAAAUGCGUAGAUAUCACUUGGAACGCCAACGGUGAAGACAGUCUGCUGGGGACUUGCUGACGCUGAGACACGAAAGCCAGGGGAGCGAACAGG